GCGAGUCUUAAUUAUUUCUAUGCAUUAACUACACUCUCUUUGUGCUAUCAACAAAGGAUUUAUAUGUAACAUUCCAAUAAAUUAUUAUUAUUAGGUAUUAAAGACUGUGAGGCUUUUAAUGCGCAUGCUUCCGUCUUUUGGUCUGAUGUGUGUUAUAAAUUUUUGUAAGGUUAGGAUUAAACAGAACAGUAAUUUCUGGUAUAUUGUAUUUAAUUCUUUUAUAAAUUGAUACUUCUUACUCAUUCCAUAAUGUGGGUGCAAGAGACAUGGGAAACCGAAGAAGAUAUUGAAAAUGAUAUUCUCUUGAUGGCUGAAUAUUGUGUGCCUGCAGAGAUUAAUCAAGAUUCCUCCGCACGAAAAGUUCCAGAUACGAUUUUACAAUACAAGAAACAAAUGGAAGAAAACCGACGAAAACCUUUGAAUAGUGAUCUCGACGAUAACGUUUGCUAUGUUGUAAGUGGUCGAGGGAAGGGAAUUAAAGAUCGACUUAUUCGUCCAGGUGAACUCGUCGAUACUCAUCCUUUGGAUGAAGCUGAACUGAAAAAGAAAAUUCGAGAGGUUUCUGGGUUUGGGUAUUCAAAUGAAUUAAUUGAAAAAUCUAUUAAAGCUAAGGCUUAUGAUCCCCCAAAGGAUAGUCAAACUAAUUCUUUCUUCAAGUUGGUUUCAUCACCUUCUAGUAGCAGAUCUUCAAAUGAAAAUACUCCAACCAAAAAAAAACAAUUCUAUUAAAAAUGAUGUAAGCACAGCGGAUUUUUCUUUCAUUGAAUUAUUUACGAGUAUUAUCAGUUUUCGAUUGCAAGUUAUGUUUAGGAUAAUAAAAUGUUCAUUUAGUAGUUUAGAUUUAUGUACUCUAUUUUUGUAAACAUUACAAUAAAAUCAUACGUAGAUA